CACGAACGCUGGCGGCAGGCUUAACACAUGCAAGUCGAGCGCCCCGCAAGGGGAGCGGCAGACGGGUGAGUAACGCGUGGGAAUCUACCCAUCUCUACGGAAUAACGCAUGGAAACGUGUGCUAAUACCGUAUACGUCCUUCGGGAGAAAGAUUUAUCGGAGAUGGAUGAGCCCGCGUUGGAUUAGCUAGUUGGUGGGGUAAAGGCCUACCAAGGCGACGAUCCAUAGCUGGUCUGAGAGGAUGAUCAGCCACACUGGGACUGAGACACGGCCCAGACUGCUACGGGAGGAAGCGGUGGGGAAUAUUGGACAAUGGGCGCAAGCCUGAUCCAGCCAUGCCGCGUGAGUGAUGAAGGCCCUAGGGUUGUAAAGCUCUCUCACCGGUGAAGAUAAUGACGGUAACCGGAGAAGAAGCCCCGGCUAACUUCGUGCCAGCCGCCGCCGUAAGAC
rnacentral:rRNA from 1 species